UUGUUUCAUAAAUGUUUUCACUUUUGAACAAAUGACAUAUCGGGUCAGGUUCAGUGGUCAUAGGGUUGGAUCCAUUGGUCACUAGGUUGGUCAGAGUGUUACUAGGUUGAACCCGAGGUCACUGAGUCAAGUUCGAUGAUCACGAAGCUACGUUUGAGCAUCACUGAUCAGAUCGAAGGUUCAUCAGGUCGGGCCAAGAAUCUCUCUUCUUUUUUUCCCCAUGGUUAAGGCAUAUGGGGACGAGGCCGCAUGGUUGUUGAGGAUGUGGGUCUACUUGCUAAAGGUGGCGAGUCCCACAUUCAAUUUUGACCUAGUUCAGUUAUAAUGGAACUUUAAAAUAACUCAUUCCUUCAAUUUUGAGUGGAAAUGAAGUUUUUCCUGCGGUCAAAUUCGGAAUUUGAGGUCAGAAUGGAAGUCAACGUAACAGUGUUCGCACCAUUUUUCGUUGAAUUCAUUGAAGUUAUGAUGAAUUUUUGUUGGGUCUGGAGGUCUUGAGUUUGGACAGAGAGUCCCGAGGCUCAGCAUGAGUUUGUGGCCAAACGCACGAUUCGAGUAAAUGUUUAAAAAGUUCACAAUGUCAUUAUAAUUUACAUAAAUUAUUUACAAGCUCCGAAAAAUUUAUGGAGAUGAGAUCUCUUUUCAUCAAAACUAAAAAAGAGAUUGUAUAUGGGUC
rnacentral:lncRNA from 1 species